UACACACAGACUGAUAUAUUUCAAAUGUUUAUUUCUUUUAAUUUUGAUGAUUAUAACUGACAACUAAGGAAAAUCCCAAAUUCAGUAUCUCAGAAAAUUAGAAUAUUACUUAAGACCUAUACAAAGAAAGGAUUUUUAGAAAUCUUGGCCAACUGAAAAGUAUGAACAUGAAAAGUAUGAGCAUGUACAGCACUCAAUACUUAGUUGGGGCUCCUUUUGCCUGAAUUACUGCAGCAAUGCGGCGUUGCAUGGAGUCGAUCAGUCUGUGGCACUGCUCAGGUGUUAUAAGAGCCCAGGUUGCUCUGAUAGUGGCCUUCAGCUUUUCUGCAUUGUUGGGUCUGGCAUAUUGCAUCUUCCUCUUCACAAUACCCCAUAGAUUUUCUAUGGGGUUAAGGUCAGGCGAGUUUGCUGGCCAAUUAAGAACAGGGAUACCAUGGUCCUUAAACCAGGUGCUGGUGCCAAGUCCUGUUGGAAAAUGAAAUCUGCAUCUCCAUAAAGUUGGUCAGCAG